UAAACGCCUUCAUCUCUCUCUCUUGUCCCACCCGCAGAGCUCCUUCUGGGAUUCUCUAUUGGCUGAACUCAGCCACAAGCUGCCAAGGGAGACCCUCACAACUGGAUGCAGCCCACUGAAAGCUAUUCAGCUUUCUGGGGUGCAUAGCUGAAGGUAGCAGGGAGCAAAAAGAAUCUGAAGGGGCAAGUGAACAAUGUAGAAUGUAUCUGUGCUGAAGACGUAAGGAGAGAGUGGAGGUCAGAAGCUGGCACGGUCCCUGGUGCAUGUGUCAGCCGCUAAAGAAGUGGAGAGUAUGAACAUAAGCAAGAGGAAGUGAUGAGUAUCCCUUCCAGGAGAACUUUAAGAGGCAGUGAGUGAUUUGCUGGGCUCCCAAGCCCUCUGCUCUGAUGACAGCAAAGCCCCAAAUCAUGACGCCUCCAUCAGUCGGGACCCCUCAACAGAGCCAGCUUCACAGCUGGAGUGGAUGAAUCAGAACUUUCCCCAUGGGAGCAUUUAUAAAAAGGGGACACCCAGCGCAGAAGAUGUUUUUCAGGGAGAUCUCGGGGAGCCCAACAAGCCAAGAAGAGCAGAGCAAAGCAUUCCAAGGAAGGACUCUAAGUCUGCAACAGAGCACACAUGAGCACAAGGAAAGACCAUGUGAAUACACAGCAAGAACGUGGUGCUCUGCAAGUCAGAAACAGACCCUUCAUCAGACACCAAAUCAGCCAGCACAUUGGUCUAGGAUUUCUGGCCUCCAAAAC